rnacentral:rRNA from 1 species
UGAGUAACGCGUGGGUAACCUGCCCUUAAGUCUGGGAUACCAUUUGGAAACAGAUGCUAAUACCGGAUAAAAGCUACUUUCGCAUGAAAGAAGUUUAAAAGGCGGCGUAAGCUGUCGCUAAAGGAUGGACCUGCGAUGCAUUAGCUAGUUGGUAAGGUAACGGCUUACCAAGGCGAUGAUGCAUAGCCGAGUUGAGAGACUGAUCGGCCACAUUGGGACUGAGACACGGCCCAAACUCCUACGGGAGGCAGCAGGCU